GCAAACUGCGAAUACCGGAGAAUGUUAUCACGGGAGACACACGGCGGGUGCUAACGUCCGUCGUGAAGAGGGAAACAACCCAGACCGCCAGCUAAGGUCCCAAAGUCAUGGUUAAGUGGGAAACGAUGUGGGAAGGCCCAGACAGCCAGGAUGUUGGCUUAGAAGCAGCCAUCAUUUAAAGAAAGCGUAAUAGCUCACUGGUCGAGUCGGCCUGCGCGGAAGAUGUAACGGGGCUAAACCAUGCACCGAAGCUGCGGCAGCGACGCUUAUGCGUUGUUGGGUAGGGGAGCGUUCUGUAAGCCUG
rnacentral:rRNA from 2 species